rnacentral:rRNA from 1 species
UACGUAGGGGGCAAGCGUUGUCCGGAUUUAUUGGGCGUAAAGAGCGUGUAGGCGGCUUGGUAGGUCCGCUGUGAAAACUCGAGGCUCAACCUCGAGAUGUCGGCGGAAACCACUUGGCUAGAGUCCGGAAGAGGAGAGUGGAAUUCCCGGUGUAGCGGUGAAAUGCGCAGAUAUCGGGAAGAACACCCGUGGCGAAGGCGGCUCUCUGGGACGGUACUGACGCUGAGACGCGAAAGCGUGGGGAGCGAACAGG